UACGAAGGGGGCUAGCGUUGUUCGGAAUUACUGGGCGUAAAGCGCACGUAGGCGGGUUGUUAAGUCAGGGGUGAAAUCCUGGAGCUCAACUCCAGAACUGCCUUUGAUACUGGCAACCUAGAGACUGGAAGAGGUUAGUGGAAUUCCCAGUGUAGAGGUGAAAUUCGUAGAUAUUGGGAGGAACACCAGUGGCGAAGGCGGCUCACUGGACCGGUACUGACGCUGAUGCGCGAAAGCGUGGGGAGCAAACGGG
rnacentral:rRNA from 1 species